rnacentral:rRNA from 1 species
GACGAACGCUGGCGGCGUGCUUAACACAUGCAAGUCGAGCGGUAAGGCCCUUUCGGGGGUACACGAGCGGCGAACGGGUGAGUAACACGUGGGUGACCUGCCCUCAGCUCUGGGAUAAGCCUGGGAAACCGGGUCUAAUACCGGAUAUGACUCCAUGACGCAUGUUGUGGGGUGGAAAGCCUUGUGCGGCUGGAGGAUGGGCCCGCGGCCUAUCAGCUUGUUGGUGGGGUGAUGGCCUACCAAGGCGACGACGGGUAGCCGGCCUGAGAGGGCGACCGGCCACACUGGGACUGGAGAC